AAAACAGCAAGGGCUGUGGCUGCUGCCAUGCAUGGUUUUCGCUGUGUCUGCCAGCAUUUGCAUUCAGAUAUCGCUAUCUGCACACACAUCAAGCAGCUGAAGAGGAACCUGGGAUCAUAGCACCAGUCUAGGGUUGGCCCUUUGGGCCCAUCUACCAUGGCCAGCCUCCAAAUUCCCACACAUAG
rnacentral:snoRNA from 1 species